rnacentral:rRNA from 1 species
GACAGAGGAUGCAAGCGUUAUCCGGAAUGAUUGGGCGUAAAGCGUCUGUAGGUGGCUUUUUAAGUCUGCCGUCAAAUCCCAGGGCUUAACCCUGGACAGGCGGUGGAAACUACCAAGCUGGAGUACGGUAGGGGCAGAGGGAAUUUCCGGUGGAGCGGUGAAAUGCGUAGAGAUCAGGAAGAACACCGGUGGCGAAAGCGGCACCCUGGUCUUGGCCUGACGCUGAGGGGCGAAAGCGUGGGGAGCGAACGGG